UCUCACCAUUGAAAACAGAUUUAU
rnacentral:snRNA from 1 species